AGUGAACGCUGGCGGUAGGCCUAACACAUGCAAGUCGAACGGCAGCACAGUAAGAGCUUGCUCUUACGGGUGGCGAGUGGCGGACGGGUGAGGAAUACAUCGGAAUCUACUUUUUCGUGGGGGAUAACGUAGGGAAACUUACGCUAAUACCGCAUACGACCUACGGGUGAAAGCAGGGGAUCUUCGGACCUUGCGCGAUUGAAUGAGCCGAUGUCGGAUUAGCUAGUUGGCGGGGUAAAGGCCCACCAAGGCGACGAUCCGUAGCUGGUCUGAGAGGAUGAUAGGCCGCAUGGGAACUGAGACACGGUCAAGACGCCUACGGGAGGCAGCAGUGGGGAAUAUUGGACAAUGGGCGGAAGCCUGAUCCAGCCAUACCGCGUGGGUGGAGGAGGCCUUCGGGUUGUAAAGCCCUUUUGUUGGGAAAGAAAAGCAGCAGGUUAAUACCCCGCUGUUCUGACGGUACCCAAAGAAUAAGCACCGGCUAACUUCGUG
rnacentral:rRNA from 1 species